CUCUCGGCAACGGAUAUCUAGGCUCUCGCAUCGAUGAAGAACGUAGCGAAAUGCAAUACUUGGUGUGAAUUGCAGAAUCCCGCGAAUCAUCGAGUUUUUGAACGCAAGUUGCGCCCGAAGCCAUUCGGCCGAGGGCACGUCUGCCUGGGUGUCACGCAUCGUUGCC
rnacentral:rRNA from 1 species